CCUACGGGAGGCAGCAGUGAGGAAUAUUGGUCAAUGGGCGCGAGCCUGAACCAGCCAAGUCGCGUGAAGGAUGACUGCCCUACGGGUUGUAAACUUCUUUUAUAAAGGAAUAAAGUGAGGCACGUGUGCCUUUUUGUAUGUACUUUAUAAAUAAGGAACGGCUAACUCCGUUCCAGCAGCCGCGGUAAUACGGAGGAUCCGAGCGUUUACCGGAUUUAUUGGGUUUAAAGGGAGCGUAGAUGGGGUGUUAAGUCAGUUGUGAAAGUUUGGGGCUCAACCGGAAAAGUGCAAUUGAUACUGGGAGUCUUGAGUACAGUUGAGGUAUGCGGAAUUCGUGGUGUAGCGGUGAAAUGCUUAGAUAUCACGAAGAACCCCGAUUGCGAAGGCAGCUUACUAAACUGCCACUGACAUUGAUGCUCGAAAGUGCGGGUAUCAAACAGGAUUAGAUACCCCUGUAGUC
rnacentral:rRNA from 1 species